rnacentral:rRNA from 1 species
CGGUGUUCAACUGGCGUGCCCGCGGGACGUCCUGCCGGUGAGCUCAGCCCGCGAGGGCGGCUCAACUUGAAAUCCCAUCGCGGUGCUCUUCAUUGAGUGUCGAGGUGGGCCGGCACGAUUACUUUUGAACAAAUUAGAGUGCUUAAAGCAGGCUAAAAUUUUGCCUGAAUACUGUGUAUAUGGAAUAAUGGAAUAGGACCUCGGUUCUAUUUUGUUGGUUUUCGGAACCCCCGAGGUAAUGAUUAAUAGGAACGGAUGGGGGCAUUCGUAUUGCGACGUUAGAGGUGAAAUUCUUGGAUCGUCGCAAGACGGACUAAAGCGAAAGCAUUUGCCAAAAACGCUUUCAUUGAUCAAGAACGAAAGUUAGAGGUUCGAAGGCGAUCAGAUACCGCCCUAGUUCUAACCAUAAACUAUGCCAGCUAGCGAUCCGCCGACGUCCCUCUGAUGACUCGGCGGGCAGCUUCCGGGAAACCAAAGCUUUUGGGUUCCGGGGGAAGUAUGGUUGCAAAGCUGAAACUUAAAGGAAUUGACGGAAGGGCACCACCAGGAGUGGAGCCUGCGGCUUAAUUUGACUCAACACGGGAAACCUCACCAGGCCCAGACACUGGAAGGAUUGACAGAUUGAGAGCUCUUUCUUGAUUCAGUGGGUGGUGGUGCAUGGGCCGUUCUUAGUCGGUGGAGCGAUUUGUCAGGUUAAUUCCGAUAACGGACGAGACUCUGACCUGAUAACUAGACGCACUUGCGGCAUCUCAAAGGUCCGCCGGCGGCUGGCUUUGCGCCCGUCGUCGCGCGCGAUUUUUACUGCCGGCGUACAAUAAAUUCUUCUUAGAGGGACAAGCGG